rnacentral:rRNA from 1 species
UUGCCACUCUCAGGUGCUGUGCAAUGGUGGGGUGAGUGGCAGCUACACGUCCUUGCUCUUGGCAGCCUUGGUAUCCAGUACGUCCUCGCUAUUUUUGCAGUCUUCCGCAAGUCCGGGGCCACACCGUGGUUCAGAUUUGUCACCUGGCUCGCAUUCCGAGGAAGCGAUGCCGUGGCGAUAUAUGCUCUCGCCACACUCUUCAACCGGCAAAGGUACAAGCAGCUACCCAGCUCUGUCUCUGAGAAUGAAAGUAAUGGGCUGCAGGUGCUUUGGGCACCUAUCUUGCUGAUGCACCUUGGCGGGCAGGUCGCCAUAACAGCCUAUAAUAUCGAAGAUAACGAGCUAUGGAGGCGGCACAUUGUUACCGCACUAUCUCAGAAAAUAAAGAUGAUGAAAAUCAAU